rnacentral:rRNA from 1 species
AUCUUGGUUCAGGAUGAACGCUGGCGGCGUGCUUAACACAUGCAAGUCGAACGGAGUUUUUAAACGGAAGUUUUCGGAUGGAAGUUUAGAAACUUAGUGGCGGACGGGUGAGUAACGCGUGGGUAACCUGCCUCAUACAGGGGGAUAACAGUUAGAAAUGACUGCUAACACCGCAUAAUAUAGCGAAACCGCAUGAUUUUGCUAUCAAAUAUUUAUAGGUAUGAGAUGGGCCCGCGUCUGAUUAGCUAGUUGGUGGGGUAAAGGCCUACCAAGGCGACGAUCAGUAGCCGGCUUGAGAGAGUGACCGGCCACAUUGGGACUGAGACACGGCCCAAACUCCUACGGGAGGCAGCAGUGGGGAAUAUUGGACAAUGGGGGAAACCCUGAUCCAGCGACGCCCGCGUGAGUGAAGAAGUAUUUCGGUAUGUAAAGCUCUAUCAGCAGGGAAGAUAAUGACAGUACCUGACUAAGAAGCCCCGGCUAACUACGUGCCAGCAGCAGC